rnacentral:rRNA from 1 species
AUGAACGCUGGCGGCGUGCCUAAUACAUGCAAGUCGAGCGAACGGACGAGAAGCCUGCUUCUCUGAUGUUAGCGGCGGACGGGUGAGUAACACGUGGAUAACCUACCUAUAAGACUGGGAUAACUUCGGGAAACCGGAGCUAAUACCGGAUAAUAUUUUGAACCGCAUGGUUCAAAAGUAAAAGACGGUCUUGCUGUCACUUAUAGAUGGAUCCGCGCUGCAUUAGCUAGUUGGUAAGGUAACGGCUUACCAAGGCAACGAUGCAUAGCCGACCUGAGAGGGUGAUCGGCCACACUGGAACUGAGACACGGUCCAGACUCCUACGGGAGGCAGCAGUAGGGAAUCUUCCGCAAUGGGCGAAAGCCUGACGGAGCAACGCCGCGUGAGUGAUGAAGGUCUUCGGAUCGUAAAACUCUGUUAUUAGGGAAGAACAUAUGUGUAAGUAACUGUGCACAUCUUGACGGUACCUAAUCAGAAAGCCACGGCUAACUACGUG